AAAAAAAAUAGUAAAAUAACAAAAGUAAAGGUAUUAACAUUAAUUCUCUUCAAAACAUUCCUUAUAGAGCGUGACAGUAUUAUGACAUUUGGGAGAGUCUAUAAGCUUAAUACUGCUUAUAUAUUGUUCAAAUUGAGCCAGAAGUCCAUGUAAAUUCUUUUUCAAUACUCUGCAUUUAUGAAUAUGGAAUUUACCAAACAAUAUUAAAACUUUGAUAAUGUAUUCAAUGAUAUCUCCCACAAUGUUUCUUAAAG